CCUGCCCCGAGACAAAAUGCAGGUGUGACUGCUGUGUCACAUGUGUGUCAAUAGAUGACAGAGAGAAGAUAGUCCCUGUUUAUGCUCAAUGUUCUGACCUAUGAACAUUCGAGAAAUUAGGAACCUAAAAUU
ensembl:snoRNA LOC120096400 small nucleolar RNA SNORA17